CGGGAGGCAGCAGUGGGGAAUCUUGCACAAUGGAGGAAACUCUGAUGCAGCGAUGCCGCGUGAGUGAAGAAGGCCUUUGGGUUGUAAAGCUCUUUCGUCGGGGAAGAAAAUGACUGUACCCGAAUAAGAAGGUCCGGCUAACUUCGUGCCAGCAGCCGCGGUAAUACGAAGGGACCUAGCGUAGUUCGGAAUUACUGGGCUUAAAGAGUUCGUAGGUGGUUGAAAAAGUUGGUGGUGAAAUCCCAGAGCUUAACUCUGGAACUGCCAUCAAAACUUUUCAGCUAGAGUAUGAUAGAGGAAAGCAGAAUUUCUAGUGUAGAGGUGAAAUUCGUAGAUAUUAGAAAGAAUACCAAUUGCGAAGGCAGCUUUCUGGAUCAUUACUGACACUGAGGAACGAAAGCAUGGGUAGCGAAGAGGAUUAGAUACCCUCGUAGUCCAUGCCGUAAACGAUGUGUGUUAGACGUUGGAAAUUUAUUUUCAGUGUCGCAGCAAAAGCGAUAAACACACCGCCUGGGGAGUACGACCGCAAGGUUAAAACUCAAAUGAAUUGACGGGGACCCGCACAAGUAGUGGAGCAUGUGGUUUAAUUCGAAGAUACGCGCAGAACCUUACCAACACUUGACAUGUUCGUCGCGACUUUAAGAGAUUAAAGUUUUCGGUUCGGCCGGACGAAACACAGGUGCUGCAUGGCUGUCGUCAGCUCGUGUCGUGAGAUGUUGGGUUAAGUCCCGCAACGAGCGCAACCCUCACUUUUAGUUGCCAUCAUUAAGUUGGGCACUCUGAAAGAACUGCCAGUGAUAAGCUGGAGGAAGGUGGGGAUGACGUCAAGUCCUCAUGGCCCUUACGUGUUGGGCUACACACGUGCUACAAUGGUAUCUACAACAGGAAGCGAAACGGCGACGUUAAGCAAAUCCUUAAAAGAUACCUCAGUUCG
rnacentral:rRNA from 1 species